rnacentral:rRNA from 1 species
CCCCAGCAUAACGCUGGGCGGCGUGCUUUACACACUGCAAGUUGAACGAACCUUCGGGUUAGCUGGCGGACGGGUGAGUAACGCGUGAGAAUCUGCCCUCAGGAGGGGGACAACAGCUGGAAACGGCUGCUAAUACCCCAUAUGCCGCGAGGUGAAAUGAAUUUCGCCUGAGGAUGAGCUCGCGUCUGAUUAGCUAGUUAGGUGUAGGUAAUGGCUCACCAAGGCAUCGAUCAGUAGCUGGUCUGAGAGGAUGAUCAGCAACACUGGGACUGAGACACGGCCCAGACUCCUACGGGAGGCAGCAGUGGGGAAUUUUCCAGCAAAUGGGCGAAAAGCCUGACGGAGCAACGCCGCGUGAGGGAUGAAGUGCCUCUGGGCUGUAAACCUCUUUUAUCAAGGAAGAAGAUCUGACGGUACUUGAUGAAUAAGCCACGGGAUAAUUCCGUGCCAGCAGCCGCUGGUAAUACGGGAGUGGCAAGCGUUAUCCGGAAUUAUUGGGCGUAAAGCGUCCGCAGGACGGCACCUAUCAAGAUCUGCUGUUCACAAACGUGGAGCUUAACUCCAUCAUGGCCAGCUGGAAACUGUUGGGCUUGAGUGUGGUAAGGGGCAGAGGGAAUACCCGGAUGUAGCGGUGAACUGCGUCAGAUAUC